AGCGAACGCUGGCGGUAGGCCUAACACAUGCAAGUCGAACGGCAGCACAGUAAGAGCUUGCUCUUACGGGUGGCGAGUGGCGGACGGGUGAGGAAUACAUCGGAAUCUACUUUUUCGUGGGGGAUAACGUAGGGAAACUUACGCUAAUACCGCAUACGACCUACGGGUGAAAGCAGGGGAUCUUCGGACCUUGCGCGAUUGAAUGAGCCGAUGUCGGAUUAGCUAGUUGGCGGGGUAAAGGCCCACCAAGGCGACGAUCCGUAGCUGGUCUGAGAGGAUGAUCAGCCACCCUGGAACUGAGACACGGUCCAGACUCCUACGGGAGGCAGCAGUGGGGAAUAUUGGACAAUGGGCGCAAGCCUGAUCCAGCCAUACCGCGUGGGUGAAGAAGGCCUUCGGGUUGUAAAGCCCUUUUGUUGGGAAAGAAAAGCAGCAGGUUAAUACCCCGCUGUUCUGACGGUACCCAAAGAAUAAGCACCGGCUAACUUCGUG
rnacentral:rRNA from 1 species